GACGAACGCUGGCGGCGUGCUUAACACAUGCAAGUCGAACGGUAAGGCCCUUCGGGGUACACGAGUGGCGAACGGGUGAGUAACACGUGGGUGAUCUGCCCUGCACUCCGGGAUAAGCCUGGGAAACUGGGUCUAAUACCGGACAGGACCACUUCCUGCAUGGGUGGAGGUGGAAAGCUUUUGGGGUGUGGGAUUGGCCCGCGGCCUAUCAGCUUGUUGGCGGGGUGAUGGCCUACCAAGGCGACGACGGGUAGCCGGCCUGAGAGGGUGGCCUGACAGACUUGGACUGCGGUACGGACCAGACUCCUGCGGGGGGGCGCAGUGGGGAAUAGUGCACCGGGGGCGCCAGCCUGAGGCAGGGACGCCGCGCGAGGGAUGACGGGCUUGGGGUGGUACACCUCUUUCCGCACCGACGAAGCGCAAGUGACGGUAGGUGCAGAAAAAGGUCCGGCCAACUACGUUCCAGCCGCCGCGGUAA
rnacentral:rRNA from 1 species